AGGUCUAGAUUAUAAAUCAUAUUUAGACUCUUCCCUCCUCCAAGAUGUAUUAGAUGAUUCGUCCAAGCUCCCACAGCUAUCAAGUGGAAAGAAGAAAAGAAGAUUUUAUCUGACUGACAUACCUACCAUCAGGUUCUCCCUCUUGAAACUACCCUACUUCUCUUAAGAUUUUAGCGCAAGGCAAUAUAAACUGUGCCUCUCAUUAGUCAAUGAUUAGAUUUUCUUGAAAUCAUAGAAAUGUUCGAGCUGGAAUCAUUUGCAUUGUAAAUUUGAGCUGGAAAGAAGCUGGUGAAUCUGGGAUGCAUCUUGUAUACCCAUUUCUAUGUUGAGGGCGUAGCCAGAAAAGCAUCAAUGCUGAGACUUUGUUUCUCCAGCACCUGAGCAAAUAAAUGCACUUGCGUAUAUGAGCAUUUUGUUUUUUCCAUCCCGAUUUGGGAGAGUUUCCCUGAUAAGCGUAGCCACACUAUGUGGUGCAAAGAGGUGGGCUUUGGGAAUUUUCCAAGACCAGUCCUAAAAUCCAAUCCCGAUCACUUUGUCAAAUAUGAGAUAGGAACGAGAUACCGAACUUAUAUGAGGGAUAUUAAUACCCAUCUCCUGUAGUCAUUGAGAGAGGAUUGAGUGAUAUAACAGAUGUAAAAAAUCUAGCUAAGUCCCAGCAUUUUCCAGGCACUUCAUCAGUUAGUUAUUAAUGCCCUUUCUUAUCUCUCCUGUUGAGUGUGACACAAAUAGAGCAUUUAAACAAUUUGCAUGUGUUUGCCUCUCUCAGUGUUCUUAAGGCUUUCUCCCAUAUGUGAGCAUUUUUGUAGCUCAUCUUACUGGGAGCUCCAGUAAGCUCCAUCUUUGAGGGCAGGAACCACGACUCUCAUUGAACCAGGAGUGCUCAGGAGAUGAACGCAAUGGUUCGCCUGUUUGCUUGUGUGUCUUUUCUCAAAGACAUGGUGGUGCUUAUAGCACUCACUAUCUGGUAAUUAUCUGAAUGUUUCUAUCUUUUCCUCUGCAAAGCUCAUUUUGGUGCUAGCUGCUAGAAGUGCCAAGUUAAGAAGGAUUCUGCAGUCGUAGGAAAGAGUUCUGCGGUCAAAUAUCUGCCGUGGGCUCAAAAGGUAAAGGCAAUGACAUUACUCAUGCUACAAACUAGCCACCCUUGUUGUGGAUCUCCGAGGAAAAGAAGGGAAAAACAAUCUUUUGUCAGACUGAGAAACGUUUUUCAUCUGUGCUGUAUGUGGCACCGUAAAGAGCAUAUUUAGUAUCAAGUGGAAGGCUGAAAAGCAUCGAAAUCGAUUUUCCGAAAAUGUAUUUUAUUAUUUUACUGUUGCACUUACCGUCCUGAUAAUGGCCAUGAGGGCGGGGGAUUUGAUUUUUGGAAAUUAAACAAUGAUGUGCUGCCACCUUGUGGACAUGCCUAUCCUAAUGGUCCUUGUUUCUGAUUGAACCCUGCCGGAUAUAGACACCCAUCCAUAUUUGUGUACAACGUGCUACCAUGGCUCUCUAGUCAAUUUCCAAUCUUUCUCACGUGAGCAACUGAUGAUUGUGCUUCGCCAGUACAGUAAAGGAAGAGUCUCUGUUCUGAUUCUAUUUGGACUUCUCAAGCCCAUCUCAGGAUCCGCUGUGCGCCCUGUGGCAUUUCUGUCCCACACGAUCCACGCUGGAAGAUCUGCGGUGACAACCCCCCUGGUUUUCUCAGCCUGAGCAUUCUGUUCUUUUACUCUCCCAGGCCACCAUUUUCUUGGGCACCACCAGCAUUUUCCUCAAAGUGUGGUGUCAAGCGGGACAUUUAAAACCCUAGAAGAGGCCAGGCGUGGUGGCUCACGCCUGUAAUCCUAGCACUCUGGGAGGCCGAGGCGGG